rnacentral:rRNA from 1 species
GGAGGGUGCAAGCGUUGUUCGGAAUUAUUGGGCGUAAAGCGCGUGUAGGCGGUUUGUUAAGUCUGGUGUGAAAGCCCGGGGCCUAACCCCGGAAGUGCACUGGAUACUGGCAAACUAGAGGGUGAGAGAGGUAAGCGGAAUUCCUGGUGUAGGGGUGAAAUCCGUAGAUAUCAGGAGGAACAUCGGUGGCGAAGGCGGCUUACUGGCUCAUUACUGACGCUGAGACGCGAAAGCGUGGGGAGCAAACAGGAUUAGAUACCCUGGUAGUCCACGCCCUAAACGAUGGAUACUAGUCGUCGGGAUUCCCUAAUUGUCUCGGUGACGCAGCUAACGCACUAAGUAUCCCGCCUGGGGAUUACGAUCGCAAGAUUA